rnacentral:rRNA from 1 species
CCUACGGGUGGCAGCAGUGGGGAAUAUUGGACAAUGGGGGGAACCCUGAUCCAGCCAUGCCGCGUGUGUGAAGAAGGCCCUCGGGUUGUAAAGCACUUUCAGUGAGGAAGAACGCCUGGUGGUUAAUACCCAUCAGGAAAGACAUCACUCACAGAAGAAGCACCGGCUAACUCCGUGCCAGCAGCCGCGGUAAUACGGAGGGUGCGAGCGUUAAUCGGAAUUACUGGGCGUAAAGCGCGCGUAGGUGGCUUGAUAAGCCGGUUGUGAAAGCCCCGGGCUCAACCUGGGAACGGCAUCCGGAACUGUCAAGCUAGAGUGCAGGAGAGGAAGGUAGAAUUCCCGGUGUAGUGGUGAAAUGCGUAGAGAUCGGGAGGAAUACCAGUGGCGAAGGCGGCCUUCUGGACUGACACUGACACUGAGGUGCGAAAGCGUGGGUAGCAAACAGGAUUAGAUACCCCGGUAGUC